GCCAGGGCCGGAGGGCGGCCUUCCGGACGAGGGAGCAGUACCCGGAGCGCGACAAGACUGACUCACG
rnacentral:ncRNA from 1 species